rnacentral:lncRNA from 1 species
AAACAAUUCCAUCCUCACAGAGAUAUAAAUUCAAAUUAGGUUAUUCCAAAAUAGAAUUAAGGUGAUUGAAAUCUUUAAUUUUGGUGCCAGCAAGAGUGGACCAUCUCUGGAGGAACAUAAUGACAUUCAGAAUCUCUGAUUUCUUUAAAUUUUUAUAUACAAAAUUGCCCUCAAUAAUAAUAAAAAAAACCCAAUAAUAAUACUAGACAAGUGAGAGAAUUAGCCAAAAACCAAAAGGGAAAGAAAACAACAAUAAAACGAAACAAAAAAAGUCAAUUAAGCAAACUUUUGGGAGAAUCAGUUAUUUAAUUUAUCAGACAAGGUUUGUAAAAUAACUUAGGUUUACAUAUUGGAGAAUACACAGGAUAAGAAAAAGAAUUUCAGUAAGAACUUGAAUCUGUAAAGGUUAUAAACUGGAUCCAAGCAUGUUGGCAGGGACACGGGAGGCUAAGGCAGGAGGAUCAACAAGUUUGAGGCCAACUUCAGCAACUUAGCAAGACCCUAUCUCAUAAUUUUAAAAAUGGGCUGGGGAUUGAGCUCAGAGGUAGAGGGCUGGGUUCAAUCUCCAGUUCUUCAGAAAAUAAAACAAAACAAACAUACAAAAUGAUGAAACAAUAACUGAAGAGGAGAGAUAAUGAAAGUAAAGCAAUAUUUGAAGAGAUAAUGUAUGAAAACACUCUAAAAAUGAAAAUAAUAAAAAAUGAAAAUGAAAAAUAAUAAACCAGAUUUAAAAAUACUGUAAAACCAAACAGAACAAGUAGAAACAAAACAAAUAGAACAAAGAAAAUAGGGAAAAUUUAAAAGCACUCAGAAAUAAGAAACAUUACUUUCAAAUGAAAAAUAAUAAAACAGAUGACUGAUCAAUAGAAAUGAUGAAAGUUAGAGGAAUAUAGGAUAUGUUUAAGAUAUUUAAAGACCUAGAAUUCCUCAUUCAUCAAAAAUGUUCAAAAGUGAAGGCAAAACCAAGACUUUAAAGAACAAACACCUAAAGUCACUAGAACACCCACCUGUACCAACACAAAUUUUGAAGGGAAGUUUUCAGGCAGAAGUAAAAUGAUCCCAAAUAGAAUCAAGUAAACAUGGCAAAAAAUGAAGAGCAAUUGAAAGGGUCAAUAUUUAGGCAAAUAUAAAUAGAUAUAGACCCUGUGUGAAAAAUUGGAAGUUACUGGUAAAGAAGAAUUAAAUAGGAGAACUUGAUUUAUCAGACAUUGGAAAUUAUUGUAAUGCAAAUGAUAACUAAGAAAUGUGGUACUGUUGCAGGACAGACAAGUAGAUGAAUGAAAUAAAGACCUAUACAGAGAAACUCAAAAGAUGACUGAGUGGGCAAUGUAUAUCAGUGCAUAAAAAUGGACUAUUAGUAAAUACUGCUAAGAAGAUAAAUUAUCCAUUCACAAAGUAAUACAGAUUCCUACCUUACAGUGAAUGUAAGUAUCAACUCAGAUAGAAUAUACAUUUAAAUUUGGGAGGCAAAACUAUAAAGUUUUGAGAAGAAUUUAUUGGAGCAUGUUUUAAUAAUGUUAGGGGAAAGAAGAAUUUCUUAAAUAAGACCCAGAAAAGGAAAACAUUAAUAAGUUAUUGUUAAAAUUAAGAACUUCUACUCCUAAAAGUGGACCAUAAAGAAGGUAAAAAGUAUAAGACUUAAGCUUUGAAAAUAAAUUUUAAUAGAUAAAACUGACAAAGGAGCAUGUAAAUCUAGAAGUAAUAAACACUUCCAAUAGUCAAUAGGAAAAAUACAAUAAAAAAAUGGUCACAAGAGGGAAGACAGGGAAAUGGUAGGGAAUGAUAUUGGUCCAAAUUAUAUUGUUACACGUGUGCAUCCUAGUAUACAACUAUCAUGCAUCAAUAAAAACGUGGAAACAAUGUAGAGGUGAAAAAAAAUAAAAGAAACACAAAUGCCACAGCAAAAGAUGAUCGAUCACAGUAACCAGUACAAUGCAAAAUGAAACAAGGAGAUACCAUUUCAUAUCUAGUCAUGGGCAAACCAUUUUAAAGUCAGCAAGAAAGUGGAUCCUCCAUCCUCCCACACACUGCUGGUGGGGGUGUUAGUUGAUGCACUCACUUUGACAUUGUUCACUACAGGCUAACACGUUCAGAUCCUACAAGCUACCAAUUCUUAUCUGAGACAGAUAUCCCAGAGAAACUCAUAUACAUGUACAUCUCAAAGUACAAAUGAGAGUUCAUGAUACCAAAAAAAAAAAAGAAAAAGAAAAAAAGAAAAACAAAUGGAAGCCAUACAAAGUCAUCAAUGAUAACAUGGAUUUUUAAAAUGGGGUUUUAUUAUGGAAUACUGCAUAGCACUUAAAAUAAGUGAGUUACAGCUGUGCAUGUGAAAAUGGAUUAAUCUGAAAAACAGGACUGCAAAUUGGUGCAGCCACUUUGGAGAGCAGUAUGGAGAUUCUUCAGAAAACUUGGAAUGGAACCACCAUUUGACCCAACUAUUCCAUUCCUCGGUUUAUAUCCAAAGGACUUAAAAUCAGCAUACUAUAGUAAUGCAGCCACAUCAAUGUUUAUAGCAGCUCAAUUCACAAUAGCUAAACUGUGGAAGCCCUUCAAUAGAUGAAUGGAUAAAGAAACGGUGUUAUAUAUACACAAUGGAAUAUUACUCAGCAUUAAAAGAGAAUAAAAUUAUGGAUGGAGUUGGAAAAUAUUAUACUAUGCAAAGUAAGACUAUCCCCCCAAAAUAAAGGCCAAAUGUUUUCUCUGAUUAGUGGAUGCUGAUCCAUGAUGGGGGUGGGGGUAUGUGUGGGAAGAAUGGAGGAAGUUUGGAUUGUGCAAAGAGCAGGGUGGAGAGGUGUCAUGGGGGUAGGAGAGAUGGUAGAAUGAGAUGGACAUCAUGACCCUAGGUACAUGUAUGAUUGCAUGAUUGGUGCAUCUCUACAUCGUGUAAUUCUCAACCAGAGAAUUGAAAUGUAGUGCUCCAUUUGUGUACGAUGAAUUGAAAUGCAUUCUGCUGUCAUGUAUAACUAAGUAGAACAAAUUAAAAAAAAAACAAAAACAGUGUUUAAUAUUAGCUAAUCAGAAAAACAAGAAAGAAGCAACUUUUACAAACCAAAUAAUUCAUUUAUAAAGUUCAUAAGCAGGAAAAAUUAACAUGUUGUUUAUAGAUGCAGGUUUAAGUGGUAUAAUUACAAUGCAAAGCAAGUGAAUUAUUGGCAAAGAAUUCAUCAGGGUAGUUGUCUUUGGCGCUAGGAAAGAAGGCCUUUGUGAUGGGUACUCCAGCACUUUGGAGCCUGGUUGUGUUCUAAGUCUCAGUGUCGAGCAUGUGGGUGUUAUUAUUUCUCUGUGGAGUGUUGGUAUACAUUUAUUUUCACUUCUCUUGUAUGAUACAUUUCAACAGAAGAGCAGAAAGAGCACAAAAGAAAUUGUCCUUGAAUUCUAUUGAGCAGUUCAUGGAUUCCAAAGCAGAAUUAUUCACAUUCCUUACAUUCACUGGGGCUGGUUUUGCUGAACUCUGGCUCCCUGAAGCCACAGAGCACACAUGCUGGAUUAACAUGCUUCUGAGCUGGGAAUUUCCCCCUACCAUUACAAGAGCCCAAAAGGAGGGCAGAAGAUGCUAUUUGCCACACCCCUUGAACACUUUUGACAAAUAGAGGGAUAAAGAAGAAUGAGAUAAUUGAAGAUCUGAGGAAAGAAGGGCUGUGUUAGCCCAAGAGACAAUGCAGAAAAAUUUAAAAAUUGGCAUUGGGAAUUUCAUAAGAAAUUAUUUGGUUGAGGAUAAUAAACAAUGAUGUGCAUGAUUAUGAUGCAAAGGAGCAUUCAAACUCUGUUGCUUUGUUUUGCUCUGAUCUUCUGAUUUUCUUCUAUUAGUUUAAGCUGACCUUCAACAAUCCGUUGUUUGGAGUUUCCCCUUUCAGUUUUAAAUGCUGCUUUUCAAAUCAGUGUGCAAGCUAUUUUGUGUUUGCUAAAUUAUGAAGCAGGUUCAUAUGCAAUGCAUAUGUUUGUCCUGAGCUGUGAAUUAUAAUGAAACUGUCUGUACUUCCUGUAUUCAUGAAAUAAUGGAUAAGGAUAAUUUUUAAGAAAUUAAAAUAGAAAAUCAAGAUAACAAAUGGCAGGAAGCAGAAGCUUCCUUCCACAAUCUGGCUUUAAAGUUCUCUUCCUCUAACAACUUUUUCAAUUCGCUACUAUAUUAUAACUCUCAGAACCAGCUUUGCUCCUUUAUCACUUCAAAAUCAUAGUUUUCUUUCAAUUCAUCUCUUGGAUUCCAAAUGACUUUUUAUUGUUAAGGUCUGUAAACAAGUCAGGAUGGCACCUGGUAUUUUGCCAGGGGGAGUGGUUUGUGAGGUGGCGCCAGCGAGCCAUUAAGUGUGGAGAUUUCUUAUUGGGUGACUGCUGUAUCUAGUUUAUGUUAAUUAAGAUAAGCUGUGUGGAAUGUAUAAAUACCUCUGUUGUCCUACAAUAAACGGCUCCCACUCCUGCUGUAUCAAUGUACACAAGUUGCUCGUCACCCCCCAGGUAAUUUUGCUGCAGCCGGACUGCGGCAUUUUAUUCCCACACAAUUGUUACCAUCGUCUUGUUCAAACACUGUUGUAAAACUCAGCAGAGUUCUCAGAGCAUAAGAGGAAUGAAAAAUCUGGACCUCAGGGAUUGCACAUGAUACGUGAAAGAAGAGCCUUUGUGAUCCUGGCCCUGCAACUGGAGAAUCUGAGAGAUGAUAUGUACCAAAGUCCUUUCCCAUCUCUCUGAAGAGAAUCUUCUGGCUUCAGUUUCUAACUCAACCCUUGCAGGAACAGGGAGCUUGACAACUGUGAUGCUGUUACAAUUGUAAGGAACUUCUUCCUAUGGUGAGCUAUAUACCUGG